GUGAAUAUGUCUUUCAACCUCACUGGCUACAAUUUGCAAACUGAAAUAUGUGCCGUGAUGUUUAAGUGAAUUAAUAAAUUUAUGAGAAUCAGUUUAAUUUUAAUGUUUCCAUUUCUUGUGCUAGUAAUGUCCACCUCUGAAUAAU
rnacentral:lncRNA from 1 species